CCCAUCUCCCCCUUAGAUAAAAGUCACACUCCUAGACUUGUAGACAUAACCGCACAUCAAAUAUCUGUAGCCACAACUUCAAUGCAAAUGAGACAUCACCAUAAACUUCAACUCUAAAUUCUUCCUGAUGAACUAUACUGGGAAGGCCUUGCUUUCUGAAAAAUGCUACUCUUAACUUUCGCUAACCUCUAUAGCCAUCACUCUACAAUUCCCACUCUCAUGAGCGUACGCA
rnacentral:lncRNA from 1 species